rnacentral:rRNA from 1 species
UACGAAGGGGGCUAGCGUUGUUCGGAAUUACUGGGCGUAAAGCGCACGUAGGCGGACCGGCCAGUCAGGGGUGAAAGCCUGGAGCUUAACUCCAGAACUGCCUUUGAUACUGCCGGUCUUGAGGAUGAGAGAGGUGAGUGGAACUGCGAGUGUAGAGGUGAAAUUCGUAGAUAUUCGCAAGAACACCAGUGGCGAAGGCGGCUCACUGGCUCAUUUCUGACGCUGAGGUGCGAAAGCGUGGGGAGCAAACAGG